CAAAAGCGUAUAUUAAAGUUGUUGCAGUUAAAAAGCUCGUAGUUGAACCUUGGGCUUGGCUGGCCGGUCCAUCUUUUUUGAUGCGUACUGGACCCAGCCGAGCCUUUCCUUCUGGCUAGCCUUUUGGCGAACCAGGACUUUUACUUUGAAAAAAUUAGAGUGUUCAAAGCAGGCCUUUGCUCGAAUAUAUUAGCAUGGAAUAAUAGAAUAGGACGUUAUGGUUCUAUUUUGUUGGUCUCUAGGACCAUCGUAAUGAUUAAUAGGGACGGUCGGGGGUAUCAGUAUUCAGUUGUCAGAGGUGAAAUUCUUGGAUUUACUGAAGACUAACUACUGCGAAAGCAUUUACCAAGGACGUUUUCAUUAA
rnacentral:rRNA from 1 species